rnacentral:rRNA from 1 species
CACGCCGUAAACGAUGAAUACUAGGUGUAGGAGGUAUCGACCCCUUCUGUGCCGCAGUUAACACAAUAAGUAUUCCGCCUGGGGAGUACGGUCGCAAGAUUAAAACUCAAAGGAAUUGACGGGGGCCCGCACAAGCAGCGGAGCAUGUGGUUUAAUUCGAAGCAACGCGAAGAACCUUACCUAGACUUGACAUCCCCUGAAUUACUCGUAACGGAGGAAGCCCUUCGGGGCAGGGAGACAGGUGG